rnacentral:rRNA from 1 species
UACGUAGGGUGCGAGCGUUUGUCCGGGAAUUACUGGGCGUAAAGAGCUCGUAGGUGGUUUGUCGCGUUGUCCGUGGAAAUCCACCUGGCUUAACUGGUGGCUUGACUUUCGAUACGGGCAGACUGGAGGUAUGCAGGGGAGAACGGAAUUCCUGGUGUAGCGGUGAAAUGCGCAGAUAUCAGGAGGAACACCGGUGGCGAAGGCGGUUCUCUGGGCGAUGUCCUGACGCUGAGGAGCGAAAGUGUGGGAGCGAACAGG